GGGGAUGUAGCUCAAUGGUAGAGCAUUUGCCUUGCAAAUGAGGACAAGGUCCUCAAUUCAAUCCCCA
rnacentral:tRNA from 1 species